rnacentral:piRNA from 1 species
UAAGAUGUGUUCGCAUUCUGUAGGUGA